rnacentral:rRNA from 1 species
AGCCAUGCAAGUCUCAGUACGAGCUGUAUUAAAGUGAAACCGCAAAAGGCUCAGUAAACCGGUCAUAGUUUACCGGAUAUAUGCCACUUAGGUGGAUAACUGUGGUAAUUCUAGAGCUAAUACAUGCAACCAAGUCCCGACCAGCGAUGGAAAGGACGCUUUUAUUGGAUCAAAACCAUUCGCCCCGGUCCGCCGGGGCGUCUGCUUGAUGACUCUAGAUAACACCACAGAUCGCACGGUCACAGUACCGGCGACGUAUCCGUCAAAUGUCUGACUUAUCAGCUGUCGAUGGUAGACUCUGUGUCUACCAUGGCGCUCACGGGUAACGGGGAAUCAGGGUUCGAUUCCGGAGAGGGAGCCUGAGAAACGGCUACCACAUCCAAGGAAGGCAGCAGGCACGCAAAUUACCCACUCCCGGCACGGGGAGGUAGUGACAAAAAAUAACGAUACGGGACUCAUCCGAGGCCCCGUAAUCGGAAUGAGAACACCCUAAAUCCUUUAACGAGGAUCUAUUGGAGGGCAAGUCUGGUGCCAGCAGCCGCGGUAAUUCCAGCUCCAAUAGCGUAUAUUAAAGUUGUUGCGGUUAAAAAGCUCGUAGUUGGUUCUGCGUGCCACGCUGUCGGUUCACCGCCUGUCGGUGCAACUGGCAUGCCGUGGCAUGUCCUGUCGGUGGCCGACAGGCUUCGCGGCGCGCCCUAUUCGUUCACACGUGUAGGUCGUCGCGCCGAGUUGUCCUCGUAGGCCGGCUCAAUCCUACCGCGGUGCUCUUUACCGAGUGUCGAGGUAGGCCGACACUGUUUACUUUGAACAAAUUAGAGUGCUUAAAGCAGGCUCUGAAAGCAGCCUGAAUAGUGGUGCAUGGAAUAAUGGAACAGGACCUUGGUUCUAUUUUGUUGGUUUUCUGAAUCCAAGGUAAUGAUCAAUAAGGACAGGCGGGGGCAUUCGUAUUGCGACGUUAGAGGUGAAAUUCUUGGAUCGUCGCAAGACGCACUAGAGCGAAAGCAUUUGCCAAGUAUGUCUUAAUUGAUCAAGAACGAAAGUUAGAGGUUCGAAGGCGAUCAGAUACCGCCCUAGUUCUAACCAUAAACGAUGCCAGCCAGCGAUCCGCCGAUGUUCCUCCGAUGACUCGGCGGGGAGCUUUCCCCGGGAAACCAAAGCUUUUGGGUUCCGGGGGAAGUAUGGUUGCAAAGCUGAAACUUAAAGGAAUUGACGGAAGGGCACCACCAGGAGUGGAGCCUGCGGCUUAAUUUGACUCAACACGGGAAACCUCACCAGGCCCGGACAUUGGAAGGAUUGACAGAUCGAUAGCUCUUUCUCGAUUCAGUGGGUAGUGGUGCAUGGCCGUUCUUAGUUGGUGGACUGAUUUGUCUGGUUAAUUCCGAUAACGAACGAGACUCUGACCUAUUAACUAGGCGCUCCCGGUAUAAAUGCCUACCGGCGAGAUU